AGUGAACGCUGGCGGUAGGCCUAACACAUGCAAGUCGAACGGCAGCACAGGAGAGCUUGCUCUCUGGGUGGCGAGUGGCGGACGGGUGAGGAAUACAUCGGAAUCUACUUUUUCGUGGGGGAUAACGUAGGGAAACUUACGCUAAUACCGCAUACGACCUACGGGUGAAAGCAGGGGACCUUCGGGCCUUGCGCGAUUGAAUGAGCCGAUGUCGGAUUAGCUAGUUGGCGGGGUAAAGGCCCACCAAGGCGACGAUCCGUAGCUGGUCUGAGAGGAUGAUCGGCCACACUGGAACGGAGACACGGUCCAGACUGAUACGGGAGGCAGCAGUGGGGAAUAUUGGACAAUGGGCGCAAGCCUGAUCCAGCCAUACCGCGUGGGUGAAGAAGGCCUUCGGGUUGUAAAGCCCUUUUGUUGAGAAAGAAAUCCAGCUGGCUAAUACCCGGUUGGGAUGACGGUACCCAAAGAAUAAGCACCGGCUAACUUCGUGCCAGCCGCCGCGGUAA
rnacentral:rRNA from 1 species